GCGGGUAUGGCGGAAUUGGUAGACGCGAUGGACUUAGGAUCCAUUGUAGAAAUACGUGGGGGUUCAAGUCCCUUUACCCGUACCA
rnacentral:tRNA from 1 species